rnacentral:rRNA from 1 species
ACUAGUGAUUACGACUGCUGCUAAGACUGGAUAGGAAAUAAAAAGGCAUCUUUUUAUUUUUAAAAGGCCUUCUUCGGAGGGUAUGCUUAAAGAGGGGCUUGCGUCACAUUAGUUAGUUGGUAGGGUAAUGGCCUACCAAGACGAUGAUGUGUAGCUGGACUGAGAGGUUGAACAGCCACAUUGGGACUGAGACACGGCCCAAACUCCUACGGGAGGCAGCAGUAGGGAAUUUUCGGCAAUGGAGGAAACUCUGACCGAGCAACGCCGCGUGAACGAUGAAGUACUUCGGUAUGUAAAGUUCUUUUAUUGAAGAAGAAACAAUAGUGGAAAAACUAUCUUGACGUUAUUCAAUGAAUAAGCCCCGGCUAACUAUGUGCCAGCAGCCGCGGUAAUACAUAGGGGGCGAGCGUUAUCCGGAAUUAUUGGGCGUAAAGGGUGCGUAGGCGGUUUAAUAAGUCUCUAGUUUAAUUUCAACGCUUAACGUUGUCCUGCUAGAGAAACUGUUUGACUAGAGUGAGAUAGAGGUAAGCGGAAUUCCAUGUGUAGCGGUAAAAUGUGUAAAUAUAUGGAGGAACACCAGAGGCGCAGGCGGCUUACUGGGUCCUUACUGACGCUGAUGCACGAAAGCGUGGGGAGCAAACAGGAUUAGAUACCCUGGUAGUCCACGCCGUAAACUAUGAGUACUAAGUGUCGGGGUUAAACUCGGUACUGAAGUUAACACAUUAAGUACUCCGCCUGAGUAGUACGUACGCAAGUAUGAAACUUAAAGGAAUUGACGGGAUCCCGCACAAGCGGUGGAUCAUGUUGUUUAAUUCGAAGAUACACGAAAAACCUUACCAGGUCUUGACAUACUCUGCAAAACUAUAGAAAUAUAGUGGAGGUUAUCAGGGAUACAGGUGGUGCAUGGUUGUCGUCAGCUCGUGUCUUGAGAUGUUAGGUUAAGUUCUAAAACGAGCGCAACCCCUGUCGUUAAUUGCCAGCACGUUAUGGUGGGGACUUUAGCGAGACUGCCAAUGAAAAAUUGGAGGAAGGUGGGGAUUACGUCAAAUCAUCAUGCCCCUUAUGAUCUGGGCUACAAACGUGAUACAAUGGCUAUUACAAAGAGUAGCUGAAACGCGAGUUUUUGGCAAAUCUCAAAAAAAUAGUCCUAGUUCGGAUUGAAGUCUGCAACUCGACUUCAUGAAGUUGGAAUCGCUAGUAAUCGCGAAUCAGCAUGUCGCGGUGAAUACGUUCACGGGGUUUGUACACACCGCCCGUCAAAUCGAAUUC